rnacentral:pre_miRNA from 1 species
AGCUUUUUGAAUCCGUGUUGAGAUUUCUCCAGACACCAACCCAUUAAGGCUGAUCAGACUUUCAAGAUAAGUGAAGUU